GAUGAACGCUGGCGGCGUGCCUAAUACAUGCAAGUCGAGCGAACAGACGAGGAGCUUGCUCCUCUGACGUUAGCGGCGGACGGGUGAGUAACACGUGGAUAACCUACCUAUAAGACUGGGAUAACUUCGGGAAACCGGAGCUAAUACCGGAUAAAAUGUUGAACCGCAUGGUUCAACAGUGAAAGACGGUCUUGCUGUCACUUAUAGAUGGAUCCGCGCCGCAUUAGCUAGUUGGUAAGGUAACGGCUUACCAAGGCAACGAUGCGUAGCCGACCUGAGAGGGUGAUCGGCCACACUGGAACUGAGACACGGUCCAGACUCCUACGGGAGGCAGCAGUAGGGAAUCUUCCGCAAUGGGCGAAAGCCUGACGGAGCAACGCCGCGUGAGUGAAGAAGGUCUUCGGAUCGUAAAACUCUGUUAUUAGGGAAGAACAAAUGUGUAAGUAACUAUGCACGUCUUGACGGUACCUAAUCAGAAAGCCACGGCUAACUACGUG
rnacentral:rRNA from 1 species